rnacentral:rRNA from 1 species
GACGAACGCUGGCGGCGUGCUUAACACAUGCAAGUCGAACGGAAAGGCCCUGCUUUUGUGGGGUGCUCGAGUGGCGAACGGGUGAGUAACACGUGAGUAACCUGCCCUUGACUUUGGGAUAACUUCAGGAAACUGGGGCUAAUACCGGAUAGGAGCUCCUGCUGCAUGGUGGGGGUUGGAAAGUUUCGGCGGUUGGGGAUGGACUCGCGGCUUAUCAGCUUGUUGGUGGGGUAGUGGCUUACCAAGGCUUUGACGGGUAGCCGGCCUGAGAGGGUGACCGGCCACAUUGGGACUGAGAUACGGCCCAGACUCCUACGGGAGGCAGCAGUGGGGAAUAUUGCACAAUGGGCGGAAGCCUGAUGCAGCAACGCCGCGUGCGGGAUGACGGCCUUCGGGUUGUAAACCGCUUUCGCCUGUGACGAAGCGUGAGUGACGGUAAUGGGUAAAGAAGCACCGGCUAACUACGUGCCAGCAGCCGCGGUGAUACGUAGGGUGCGAGCGUUGUCCGGAUUUAUUGGGCGUAAAGGGCUCGUAGGUGGUUGAUCGCGUCGGAAGUGUAAUCUUGGGGCUUAACCCUGAGCGUGCUUUCGAUACGGGUUGACUUGAGGAAGGUAGGGGAGAAUGGAAUUCCUGGUGGAGCGGUGGAAUGCGCAGAUAUCAGGAGGAACACCAGUGGCGAAGGCGGUUCUCUGGGCCUUUCCUGACGCUGAGGAGCGAAAGCGUGGGGAGCGAACAGGCUUAGAUACCCUGGUAGUCCACGCUGUAAACGGUGGGUACUAGGUGUGGGGUCCAUUCCACGGGUUCCGUGCCGUAGCUAACGCUUUAAGUACCCCGCCUGGGGAGUACGGCCGCAAGGCUAAAACUCAAAGGAAUUGACGGGGCCCCGCACAAGCGGCGGAGCAUGCGGAUUAAUUCGAUGCAACGCGUAGAACCUUACCUGGGUUUGACAUGGAUCGGGAGUGCUCAGAGAUGGGUGUGCCUCUUUUGGGGUCGGUUCACAGGUGGUGCAUGCCUGUCGUCAGCUCGUGUCGUGAGAUGUUGGGUUAAGUCCCGCAACGAGCGCAACCCUUGUUCACUGUUGCCAGCACGUUAUGGUGGGGACUCAGUGGAGACCGCCGGGGUCAACUCGGAGGAAGGUGGGGAUGACGUCAAGUCAUCAUGCCCCUUAUGUCCAGGGCUUCACGCAUGCUACAAUGGCUGGUACAGAGAGUGGCGAGCCUGUGAGGGUGAGCGAAUCUCGGAAAGCCGGUCUCAGUUCGGAUUGGGGUCCGCAGCUCGACCUCAUGAAGUCGGAGUCGCUAGUAAUCGCAGAUCAGCAACGCUGCGGUGAAUACGUUCCCGGGGCU